UUGAGCUGUAUGAGGCGAAAGUCUCAUGUACGAUUCUCUGAGAAGAGAGUAGCUACCUACUGGAGCUUCGACCAAGCACCACCGGUCAAUUCCAUUUUGGGGCCACCCCUGACUCUAC
rnacentral:ncRNA from 1 species